AGUGAACGCUGGCGGUAGGCCUAACACAUGCAAGUCGAACGGCAGCACAGUAAGAGCUUGCUCUUACGGGUGGCGAGUGGCGGACGGGUGAGGAAUACAUCGGAAUCUACUUUUUCGUGGGGGAUAACGUAGGGAAACUUACGCUAAUACCGCAUACGACCUACGGGUGAAAGCAGGGGAUCUUCGGACCUUGCGCGAUUGAAUGAGCCGAUGUCGGAUUAGCUAGUUGGCGGGGUAAAGGCCCACCAAGGCGACGAUCCGUAGCUGGUCUGAGUGGAUGAUGAGGCACCCGUGAAGGUAGACACGGGCCAGGCGCCUACGGGCGGCAGCAGUGGGGAGUAUUUGACAAUGGGCGUAGGCUUGAACCACCCAUGGGGGGGGGAAGAAAAGGGCCUGCGGAUUGCAACGCUGUUUUGGUGGGAAGGAAAGGCAGCGCAUCAACAACCUGCGGGGCAGACGCUGCGAAAAGAAAAAGAACCGGCUAACUUGGUC
rnacentral:rRNA from 1 species